rnacentral:rRNA from 1 species
UACGUAGGGUGCUAGCGUUGUUCGGAAUCAUUGGGCGUAAAGCGCGUGUAGGCGGUUAGUUAAGUCGGGUGUGAAAUCCCUGGGCUCAACCGAGGAAGUGCAUCCGAAACUAACUAGCUGGAAGGUGGUAGAGGAAGGUGGAAUUCCUAGUGUAGAGGUGAAAUUCGUAGAUAUUAGGAGGAAUACCGGUGGCGAAGGCGGCCUUCUGGACCAUUCUUGACGCUGAGACGCGAAAGCGUGGGGAGCAAACAGG